GCCUGCACUCACACCUGGCACAAGGAUCAAGGAUCAACAGUACCGAACACGUUUGUUCGCGAUAUUUGCCCAUCAUCCGCACACCACGUGCACUCGAUUGAACUUUGGUGUCUGCUUUUGGGAUCGGGCGAAAAUCCAUCCAUUUUACAUGCCAGCUACGUGGCACAGUACAUUUGGGGACUAAGAGCACGCGCGCAUUAUAACAACCCUGCAUGUCCUGCGUCCCAUGACGAAGAGACAUAAUUACGCGAAAACAAUCCAUUACACUGCCUCGGUGGGUUUUUGGCAAUUUGGCUAGGAAUUCUUCAGCUUUGAUCCAUUGUGACGUGUUCUUACCUCGCUGUUUGCUAUCCUUUAUUGUUGUGGCUCUCCGAGUAAGCUAAACCAAAAAACAAGCAGGCUUUGGAUUUAUUUUCUGUGUGCUUUACCGCUUAAAAGGACAAUAGUGCGUACAGUGACGCGUAAAGCGUGUGCCGCAAACCGAACCAUCUCGUUCGUGGUAAUUUAAACAGAUCCUAAAGAAGGAUUCUUCAACCCGCAGUGCAUUUCUCUCUCUCUUUCUCUGUCUCUGCUGUAACUCAACGUUGACUAAUGUUUGAACACACAAACACGCUCACAUAUCAAGUCAUUAUCCUGAUUCGGAGUUAACCUCACUCAGAGAAAACCGUCGAAAACAACCGUCUGAACCAUUGGGAACACUUAAACGAACCGAAAAGUUGAACACGGACGCAUUAGCACGUUUCACAUGCUUUCGGUUUCCUAUAGCAAGAAUAGGGGGAAAACAACACGAUUGUCAACAGAAGGGUCACUGGCAGGAUGGGUAGUAACAUACAUGUUUCAGGUGAAAUCUGCCGGAAAAGUCUUACUCCCUGACAGGAACAACCCACAAAUCUUUACCGGGGGAGGGCUGGAGAACCCGUACAUGAAUGGGGACCGCCAAAAAGUCACACAACCACCGGUUCAGGCGAGUUUGGUGGCAGGGCGUGUAUGGUGAACUAUUUCCAAACUGGUAGACGACACCACAUGAAAUAUUAAAUCAUGCUGCUCCUGCUGCUGUUGCUGCAAACGGAAGAUAGGUGAAAAUAUCUCACGGUAUUGUGCCCGGUUCGGUAGGUUCCCACACACCCGGAGAUGAAUUAUUUCAACUUCGGAAAGUUUCUGGUAACUGUUUGUGUGUGAGUAUGAUGUGCAGAGGGUUACACAGGAUACUGCCUCGAACGGGUUGAAUGGUCGAUAAAUGCUUGUGCUUUGGCUAGGAUUGUUUCUUUUCUUCUUGGGAAUAAUGGGCGUUGGUAA